rnacentral:lncRNA from 7 species
AACCGCCGUCGUGCAAGCCUUAUGCACCUCGCCCCACGUUAGCCAUGAGCUGGAGCGACAGCACUUCCAACAUUCUGUUCUUGAGACCCUGCGCCUCACAAUAUACCGUCUUGAGCCCCUUCGCCUCACAGCAUACCGUCUGGUGUGUCUCCAACUAACCUAAACGUGAUUGUGGCACCUUCUAUUUUGACAUGAAAUUGGUUCUAGCACCUUGCUAAUUAUGGUUGUACAUCGAUCUGGUGAAGCUACCUGUGCAUAGAUAUUUUUGUUUAUUGUUAUCCAGAUAUUUUUGUUUUUCCCUCUAGUUUUUUCUUGCUUCAAUGUUUGGAAGAGCAUCAAUUUUUUACUACAAUUGUUUGUGGCUUGAUGCUAUUCUCAAUUACUUCUUCGGCAAAAAAGUUACAGUAAGUGAUGAAUUUAACACAUGAUGCUAUUUGUUGCAGAGACUUAGUGAUACUUCUUAUAAUCUUGAUAGAAAUUUAUUUAUACAAUAUUUUUUUGAUGUAUAAAGCUCCUGUUGGUUAGAAAAUAGAAACACAUGACAUUUUGGUUGAGGUUAUCUACUGCUCCUGUGCGAACCGCAAAAUAUUUCAUGUUGCUAACAUGUAUUUGCUACAAAUGUAUUCAUCAUUUUAGAUUACUAAAAUGUUCAGAUAAAAAAUACAGUAAUUUGGAUAGUUGUUGAUAUUACCAAAGCUACCAAUAAUAUGGAUUACUUUUACAAAUACCCCCUGAAAUUCUACGAAUCAACUCGAUGUCCUAUGUAAUACUCAAAAUUGUGUACAAGAAAUAUAUAGGGUUUUCGUAUUUGAUGUGCCUCAUUUGCAUCAUAAAAAGAGCAUACACGGAAUUUAGAGAAGAAUUUAGACAAAUGAUAAAAAAAAUAAAUAACUUGCAUCAUGUUGGAGUUUUGCUUGUGCAUAAAAUUGAGAUUUAGAAUUCAAACUUGGUUUGAAUUGGAUUAAAACCUAAAUUCGGAAAGGGGAUUGAAAAAAAUGGAAAAGAAGGAAGAAAUACUAUAAAACACAAAAUAAAUCCGUAAAUAAAUAAAUUUAUCCUACACUGGUAGGUUCAAGUUGAAUACUUAAUUCAAGUACAAAUUUUGGUGCAAAUUUUGAAUUCAAAUUCUAAAUUUGAAAAU